UUCAUAUGGAGAUUUAGGCACUUAGAUCCGCCCAGUUAACUAUCCUCUGUGAGGAGACAUGAGAUUACAGCACGCCAAUGAGGAAACCAGGAAGAAUAAAAAUAAAGCGUUCAGCUUUUAAAAUUCAAGUUAGGGGUUUAGAGAUGUAAAUAAAUUAUCUUGGCCUUUUGUUUUGCAGACCCUGAAUUACUUGCAUCUCAGGUUCAUACUUUAGAGCACA